rnacentral:rRNA from 1 species
UGAGGAAUAUUGGUCAAUGGACGCAAGUCUGAACCAGCCAUGCCGCGUGAAGGAUGAAGGCCUUCUGGGUUGUAAACUUCUUUUAUCUGGGAAGAAAACUACGGUUUCUACUGUAGCCGACGGUACCAGAGGAAUAAGCACCGGCUAACUCCGUGCCAGCAGCCGCGGUAAUACGGAGGGUGCAAGCGUUAUCCGGAUUUACUGGGUUUAAUGGGUGUGUAGGCGGGUGUUUAAGUCAGUGGUGAAAUCUCCGAGCGCAACUUGGAAGCUGCCAUUGAUACUAUUGAUCUUGAAUUCUGUGGAGGUUGGAGGAAUAAGUCAUGUAGCGGUGAAAUGCAUAGAUAUGUCUUAGAACACCGAUUGCGAAGGCAGCGACCUAAACAGAUAUUGACGCUGAGGCACGAGAGAGUGGGGAGCAAACAGG